rnacentral:ncRNA from 1 species
AAAAUAACACUUCGUUCUGAUGCUAAAUUAAUUAAGACUUCUAAACCACAUAUGGUAAAUUACAAAGCUUUGUGAACAAUUUACUGCUCAGCAAAAUGUUUAACACAUUCAAGCCUUAGCUUUAAAAACAGAGUACUAAUACACUCUAUGGAAACCUCCCACAACACCAAUGAUUUAUAUUGUCUCCAGCUAGGAAACUAGGCAACAGAGAUAGUCAAUUACAAGUGACUAAAUAAGGUGCCAGCAGUCGCGGUUACACCUAAUCUUGAAAUUAAUUUCCUCAAAAAAGAGGUCUGUAUAACUGAUCUUAAUCUUACCUGAAAAAGUAAAAUUUAACUCCAACAGAAUACCCUAACAGAUCUUAUCACCUAACCUCAACAAACCACACUACAAGACAGGGAUUAGAUACCCCAUUAUUGCGUGGCUCAACAUAACAAACACUAAAAACGAAAGUUUCAAACUUAAAGAACGUGGCGGUGUUCUACACCUUAUUAGGGGAUCCUGUGGCUUAAUUCGAUAAUCCACGACUAGUAAAGCUUUAUUAGUUCACAGCUUAUGUAUGGCCGUUUUAUGCCUGCACACUAAGGUUACAACAGGAGACAAUUAAAGCUAAUAUUUAAUAAUACAGGUGACAUAUAGCCUAUAUAAAGCAGUUCAUGGGAUACAAAUAAUCACUAUUAUCCGAAGGUAACUUGAAACUGUUACAAAAAGGAGGACUUAACAGUAAGAUCACAAACAACAUUUUGAUCUGAACAAGAUCUAGAACGCGCACAAAUCGCCCGUCACUCCCAGACACUAAUCGGGAUAAGUCGUAACAUAGUAGGGGUAACGGAAGUUGCCCCUAAA